rnacentral:sRNA from 1 species
UAGACGACAGACGUGGAAUUUAAACAUCUAUAAAACACAAAAUACGUACAACGCACUUGGAAAAUCAGAAGCGGUCUCCUUGACCCCUUCCUUGCUGCUACGGUCAAACACAUCGUAAGGCAAAAGCAACGCAAACAGACAAAUAUUGUCGGUUAACAUAAAUGCCGUCUGUAUAUCAAGAGUUUGCCGCAAAUGCGCACGUGUCAAACUGUCAAAAAUCACGGCUGGUAAUUUUGAUGUUUGUUUUUGUUCGCUCUGUCAAAGGCAAAAACCCAUAAACCAUCAAAUUGUUGUAAAAAAUGACACUUACAUAAACAUAACAUCCUUUAAUAGUGGUACAUCAACACAAACUGUUUAAAAAUUGCUUGUUUGGUAUUUAACCAACGAUAAAGUUUACGCCGCAACGAAUUAAUAUUCAAUGAAUGAUUGACACCUGGAACAGGCAUGGACUUAAGUUCCAUACAGAGAGAGAGAGAGAGUGAGGGGGAAUGAUGAAAUCCUAUAGCAAUAAUUGGAAAUGAUUUCCUUGAAUCAACAAUUCAAGCAUGCUUCCAAGCCAGACAUUUUUAAAUUGGAAAGUUAUUUCGCAAAUUACAAGGUGAAAGUCAAAACAAUACAACUAUGGCUGACAGUUUCCGGAAAUUAUGUAUGUGGAAUCGAUGUUGCUUAGCUACUUAAAUAUAUGUUUAAACCUUUUUGGAGGCAACAAUUGUGAGAAACUGGCAAAAAGAGUCUAAAUUAAAGGAAAGAGAUUUAAAAGUUUCGAUUGUACCAAAAACUUUUGAUUGAUAUAUGGAGUAAAUAACUUUAAACGCAAAUAUA